GACGAACGCUGGCGGCGUGCUUAACACAUGCAAGUCGAGCGGUAAGGCCUUUCGGGGUCCACGAGCGGCGAACGGGUGAGUAACACGUGAGUGAUCUGCCCUGCACUUCGGGAUAAGCCUGGGAAACUGGGUCUAAUACCGGAUAUGACCUCCUAUCGCAUGGUGGGUGGUGGAAAGAUUUAUCGGUGCAGGAUGGGCCCGCGGCCUAUCAGCUUGUUGGUGGGGUAAUGGCCUACCAAGGCGACGACGGGUAGCCGACCUGAGAGGGUGACCGGCCACACUGGGACUGAGACACGGCCCAGACUCCUACGGGAGGCAGCAGUGGGGAAUAUUGCACAAUGGGCGAAAGCCUGAUGCAGCGACGCCGCGUGAGGGAUGACGGCCUUCGGGUUGUAAACCUCUUUCAGCAGGGACGAAGCGCAAGUGACGGUACCUGCAGAAGAAGCACCGGCUAACUACGUG
rnacentral:rRNA from 1 species